CUCCCUCCCAUGCAGUACUACACGGUCUGAGCAGCAAAUUUGUCCUGGUGAUUAGCUAGCUAGAAGUGUAUGGUAAGCUAGCUAACAGUUUGUUACUUAAACCGUCUCCAUCUUUAUCAAUGAUGAUUUAAUAAAGGAAAAACAAAGCGUUAUGUUUUUUUACUGUAUAAAAUCUUGUUUGAGGCUGGAGCUAACGUCUUUUUUCCCCCCUUCACUUUGAACAUCAAAGGGGCCGCAAACAACAUGUCCCAACAUGCAGACGGUGUUUGACGUGUUGUCUGUGUGACCAGCGUACCACUGUAUUUGGUGACCCAUCAGAUUCUAUGACCUGCAGUGUUGGAAAAAGUACUCAGAUCAUUUACUUAAGUAAAAGUAUAUAAGUAUUACCAGUUAAUUGUACUGAAAUUACUAAGUUAAAGCUAAAGUACAACAUUUGCAGAAAAUCGGGCUGUGAAAAUUAGUACUUUUUCCAACAGUGCAGGUCACAGAAUCUGAUGGGUCACCAAAAAUGGUGUAACACUGUCGACUUAGCUUUAAUCUUUACCGUUCUUCCUUUAAAUGUUUAUUUACUUUGUCAAACUCCCUUGCAUGUCUCAGUCAAAAUGCUGGUCCAGCCAAAUAGCAGAAAUAUGUGAAGCUGGAUGAGGAUGAAGGACGGUUUGACUUUAUGCAAUUCCAUGAAAAUGGUUAGCAUGGCUUAGGAAAAAGGUUUUAAACCACACCCAUGUUCUUUUAAAAGCUCAUUGUGCAAGCUCCUUAAUGUUGUCGAUUCUGAUUUCUUCACAUGCCUUUAUCAGACUCUUUUAUAUGGUAAAUGGGGUUAAAUUGCUAAUCAUUUUCAGUUCUGUAAUGUGUGCUUCAUAGUGUAAAGUAUUAAUAUACACCAAAACAGUCAAUAAAAAAAGGCAAUCAUCAAUUUUUCAAUUUGGACUUAAGUGAGGGAAAAUGCUCUAGGUCUAUUUAAGGAUUAUUCAGUGGUGGAUGUAUGUAUUUAACAUGAACAGUUAUUGGCUGUGAGGCAAGAAACAGUGCUGACUUCAAAGGCACAUUCAGUUUGACCUUACUAUCUUUUCCAGUCAUCGAGAGAUUUUGCCUGCCACCUGAUGCAAAAGUUAUAUACAAGGAUGCAACAGGGACAGAAGUUGAUGCAGAAAUAUUCAGCGACCUCGUUGGACAAGGCAAUGUGGUGCUGACACUAUUCUCAGAUCAGGAAUUCUCUGAUUUCUCCUUGUCUUCUGCUUCUGAGACGUCUGACUCAAGCUUCAGCUCAAGUGCAUCAACUAUAAUCCUAGAUGAUGUCCCUAGCAAGAGACACAGAAUUGAGGAUACACAUGAUGCUGUGUCUGCUGAACAGUUGAUUGAAGCUGUGCUAAGAGGCAAGUCUGGGGGUGAAGAAGUACUACAGGAGUACCAAACAACAGAAACCCUAACAGAUGCUGCAAGAAGAAAAAUGGUUAACAUCCUGGUGGCUCACAUGAUUGACAAUCAUGGGUAUAUUUGUUUCACAUUGUUUUUAUUUGUACCAGAUAACUGCAUGGCCAUUGCAUAAAUGUACUAAUUUAAUAUCUCCUCUCAGGCACCGCCCCACUAAAGCAAUCAGAGAAGAUUAUGCGCGUGGGAUAGUGAUGUUGUUCCCUGCCCUCAAGGAUCCAUACUCCAAGAAGGGCUAUGAACACUUCUAUGAUGCUGCAAGCAGCACAGGAUACAUUUCUUGGCUUCUGAAAACAGUCCAGAGGAAGAUUCGUCGAGGACUGCACUGCCACCAAAUAGCCCAAUUGACUUUUCUCCAGGGGGCCCAAAUUUCCAAAGGACUGUUAAUGUUGAAAGGCAGCUUGAUGGUGGUGCUUGCCAAGAGGCCAUGUCUUUGCUCAACCAUACCACAGACAAUUCCCUGAUUUUCCAGAAGAUGAGAGAGACCUUUCAGCACAGUCAGAAGCUCGUUAAUAAUGACCCAGGCAGAAGUGUUGAUAUCCUCUCCAGCUUCCCAAGAUUCCUGGAUACAAAAGGAUUGGUGGACCAAGACUUCACUCUCCUAUUUGAUGGCGACACAUCCUCCAGGCUUCUUCAGAAAUGGGAUUUGUUCUUCAAGCCAAAUGUCAUAAAAGAGGCUAAGCGGCUCACCUCAACACCAGAGUUGUGUCGCUUGGUGCAGUCAGCAGAAAGUCCCCCAGGAAGUGAUCUUGAUGAGCCAACAACCUACGACCAAGAAAUGGCUUCCCUGUUGUUGCUGUUACAUCUCCUUCCACCACCUCCAGGGGGACUGAAGUCUCCAAAAAUUAGUGCAUGUGAUGCAGUUGAGAGACUUGUUGUCUUUCAUAAGUCAUGCUGCAGUUUGGAGGAGCAUCUCCGCAACCAGCAGGGUCGGCAGCCGUACCUCCUCGCUGUUGGGCGUCAGAAGAGCAAGAUUGAGAGCUUCUACAUCACAAUGGAUAAGCGUCUCAUCCCAUGCAAGGCAAAGCGCUUAAUUCAUUGAAGUAUUUCCAUGUUUGUAAUAACUAUUCAUUUGAUAUCAUGCAUGAUUUUCUUGAGGGUGUGGUUCAGUAUGAGAUCAAAUUGCUUUUUGGAUAUCUCACGCAACACUUUAUGUCAGAACAGGACUUGCUUUCCAGGAUUUAUUGUUUUGAUUAUGGAUUUUUAGAACUAAAAAAUCGUCCUACAAAGAUUAUUUUGGAGAGUGUUGGCAAUGGCAUUGGUUUGAAUUCUAUUCCGACAUUGUGUCUUGUGAAAAACAUCCCGCUGUUGUUUGGUGACAUUAUUCCUGCAGGAAACAAAAACUGGAAUUUGUUACUGUUGUUACUUCAAAUAAUGAACAUAGUUUUUUCACCUUCUCUCACUCUAGGUAUGACAAUAUAUUUAAAGAAUUUGAUUGUUGACCACCACAAACUAUUUAAGCAAUUGUAUCCACAUAGAAACUUGAUACCUAAGCAUCAUUUUAUGAUCCAUUACCCAUCUUCUAUAAGGAAAAUUGGCCCCUUAUUAUAUACGUGGUGUAUGAGGUUUGAGGCCAAACACAAGCUGUUUAAAGAUUGUUUUAAAAAUGUCAAAAACAUAACCAAAUCGCUUGCUAAAAAGCAUCAGAUGGCCAUUGCUUAUCACUGGGAAACCUUCACCCUCAAACAAAAUGAGUAUGGGCCAAUUACAUUUUUUUCUCUUCAGAGAUGAGAAUGUCGUCAACAAUGAAAUGCUUGAAACGAUCUUGUGAAAAGAUGUUUUCUCAACGAGUUGGGUUAAAGUUGAUGGUGUAGAGUAUAAAGCUGGACUAGUUAUUUGCAGUGCAAUGGAAGAAGACAUGCCAGUCUUUUGUCAAAUAAGUGAUGUACUUUUGGUUGAAGAUCACUUUUUUUUUUACAAACAAGCUAUUUACAGAGAAUUUUGAUGACCAUCAUCAUGCAUUCGGAGUAUUACGAAGUGUGGAAAGAUGUCUACUAAAAAUGUCUGAGCUUAAAUUUCAUAAACCGUUUGAUAUUCAAAGCUCAUACAAUGUUUCAGAUGAAAGUAUGUACAUUAUACCUUCAUUCACAAUGUUUUAAUUCAACUGACUGCAAGGGAGAAAAGGCACAAAUAAAUGUUUUUGACAAUGA